AAAAAACCAGCAGAAUCUGUCAAAUUUGUAAAUUUAUUUUGUAGUUAUUUACCGUUUGGCCAGACGGGAAAGCCAUAUAAAAUUAACGUGACAUUAAGUGAGGUCUCACUUAACUCUUUGAGGGAUUGAGGCUUUGAGAAAGAGAUUUUUUUUAAGAAAUAAAACAUCUCAAUUGACAAAAUUAGUUUAGCUUCGCUCUAGUAGGACAAUUUAUUUAAAUGAAUUAUUACACUAUUUUAUUUACUGUUUGUUAGUGAUUAAAACAGAGUUAAGAGGCGUUAUUUUUAGGAAAGAAGUCAUGAAUAAUUUUUCUCAAUGAAAAUAAUAUUUCGCAUUAAUGUAAAGCUUAAAAUUUCUUAAUGUAUUUAAUAAUAAUGCAAAAAUAAAUGCCUCGGUUAAUUAUUGAUGUUAGAAGAGCCUAAUGCAUAAGAAACCUAAUUGUUUUUUGUAUUCAAAUUAUAGAGGCUGCCCAAGCACUUGAAACCGGUGGUAAGUAAUGGUUACGUCUCAUAUACAUUCCGGAUCGAAAAAAAAACUAUUUAUUGUCCAAUAUUUAUUAUAUUUAACUCUAAGCAACUUUCUCUUGUUAAAUUUUUGUGCGUUUAUUCCUGUUUAAAAUAUCUACUUAAACCUAAUAAAAAUCCUUUCAUGCUCAAAAAAAGAUAACCUUAAAUUAAAUCACGUAUUUAGUUAGAAAAGUUUUAGCUUAAUAAAGUAGUGUAAUUUUUUUUACAUAAAAAUAUGAUUUUUACUAUAACAAAAAAAAUAAAUUAAUUUAAUUAUUAAACUCAUUGAUAGAUUGAUUGACUCGUAAACAAUAAUAUAAAUUGCCUCAUGAUCAACCUUCAUAUGUAUAUUAAGUAUCGUGAUCAAAAAUAAAAAAAAGCAUGCUCGUGGGAGAAUUAUCUAUUCGGAGAAAAAAAACACUGCAUUCAAAAUCUGAGACAUCACGGUAAUGGAAGACAGGAAUAACAAGCAAUAAUGCAGGUCUGAUUGCAGGAGAAAACAGAAAGGAUAUGAAAGACGACCGUUAGAAUUACCUACAAAUUUCAUGCACAGAAUUUUGAUAUUAUUUGCAUUCGGCUUUCCUUGACUGAUUUUGAUAGUGUCUUUGUUUUCACCUUGAUGAAAUAUUUCCUUGUGACAUCUAAUGUGUGUGUUCUUUUCAUUCGUUAAAAAGCUCCCUAAAAAUACAUAUUAGAGGCAGAAACCCUACAUUUAAAUAUGAAGAAACAUAUUUUUUUUAAAUGAAACACAUAUAACAUCAACACUAGCUGUUUUAUGUUGUUACAAGUAACUUAAGUAGUUGUUGCUACAUAUUUAACCUCAUUUGAUUCAAUUUGCCUCAGAAAAAGUACCUCAUUUGUCUAGAUAACAAAAAUCAAAAGUUCAUCAACAGAAUGACAGAAAUAUUGUUUAUGAUCAAAAACUCACAUGCUUAAAUAAUUACAAAUCAAAGUAGUAUUUUUUGUAUGUUCGAAACCCUUGACAACUUUUAAACUAUUUUCCUCAUUGACUCAUCUCGUUGAAAUAUUUCUAUUUAUUUAGAUAUUAUAGGUGGUGGUAAGUACUCGACACUUUUUACAUGAAAGGAAUAUGCUCUAGUAAUUAGUAUAAGCAAAGUUUUUUGAGUUCAACUAAUUAACUUUACUAUGGAAAUUACUUUCUUACAGUUGCUAAUAUUGGUACAAGUAUGUAUUUAUUUUCACAUUUAUCUUAUUUGGAUAGGUUUAAAAUCCCUGUUAAACAUAAAUGUAAGCAAAAUACAUGGAAAAUGUUGUAUAAAAAAGCACAAAAAUAAAAAUAAACACGAGGGAUUAAAAAAGGUAUCGAACACUAAAGAUUUAAAAAAUAGUAACUAACCGAUGUUUUCUCUGAGAAUGCUCUAUAUAUGUAAACAGAAUGCAAAGGCAUAUCUAACACAAAAACUCCAUUGAUAUUAUAAAAAUUUGGCGGAAUUGCCGCCAAAUAUUACUAUUUUGCUGAAUGAAGUGAUAUUUUGCGCAACCAUACAUAUAUACAACUUAUUAUAACAACAUGUUAUUCUUAGAAACAUAUAUUUUAAUAUUUUUGAAAUGUCAUUUAGCAUUCAACAUACAUAAUUAAAAUAAUAAUUAUAAUAAGUUGUGUAUAUUUGAUUUUAGUGUGAAAACCUCAUAUAAAGGAAGUAAAAACAACGUAAAAAACAAAAAUAAAGUCAAAUAAAAAGUUCAUCUAUUCAAAGGCUAAAAGCUUGGAAAAUUUUAUAUAUUCGUCUAUAAGUAGUUUCCAAGCAUGGAAUUUUAUAAAUGGUUAAUUUUUUUUUUUCCAAAGGCGAUAAAAAAGAAAACAAUAUUUGAUUUUCGGCCAGAAAUCGGCUGAAAAAAUGCCUAUUCUCUAGAUACUUAUAUUUUUCUAUUAACUAUUACUAAACAAACUAAAUACACUAAAUACAUAUGACUUUCUAGUCCUCCAAUUUAUAAUCCCAUCUUUCCGAAAUUUUUCUAUCCCUCUAAUUCGAGGGAAAAGAAUCCAAAUAAGUAAUAUAUGUAUAUAUACAUGAUACAUAACUAAUACAUACUAUCUUUCACUUUUUUUACUAUAAAUUAGUAUUUUAACUAUUAAAAUAGUUAUAAAAAUAUUUAGCCACACCCACCCAUUUAGAAUAUUAAAUAAUCUUGCUUAUACUUGCACAACCUUCAUAUUUCGAGUAUAAAAUUUCAUACUCAUAAAAUUUCAUACUUCAUAAAAUUUCAUACUUCAUAAAAUGUUUAUUAAAAAUCAUUUUUUACUACAUAAUUUAUACGUAAAUAUUCAAGCAAAAUCAGUUCAACUUCUUACAGAACAUGAAAGUACAUAUUAAAAAUGGAUUUUUAAAAUUUUUUUCACAGCUGCAGUAAAAGGAGUUGCUGACACACUUGGCCAUGUCGUGGAUGGCGGUAAGUUUUGAGUCUAUAUUCAAUUACAAAAUUUCCUAAUUUAAAAUAAAAACUGAAACUUUUAAUCUAGCAAGUCUUUUUAUGAUGAUAAGCUAGUUAGUUAAAA